GUGGUUGCUUUGGCAGCACGUAUACUAAAAUUGAAAUGAUACAGAGAUUAGCAUGGCCCCUGUACAAGGAUGACAUGCAAAUUCGUGAAGCACUCCAUAUUUAA
rnacentral:snRNA from 1 species